CACUGAUUGAGCACCUGGGUAAAGGACCCAACUCAGCCCUGGGUGCACAGGUGAAGGCAAUUCAGCAGUGUGACUGGAAGGGGUGGAGCCUGGCUGCACCUCUCUUAGACCCCAUUUAAGGGCUGACUGCCACUGGGGAAGUAUCUUUCUCUAGAGAUCCCUCUUUAGUGAAGCUUUCCUCUGCAAAUCUGGACUCUUCUGAUAUGGGAAAGGCUGACACCAAGUGAGCUGCGUCCUUGCAUCAUCUUGUUUUUGCUUUAAUAGUCGUGACUCCACCUCAGAAUAUUCCUGCAGCUUCAGGUCAGCUCGCAGGGAGCUGUUGGGUCUCUUCUCCAUGAAACAGAGCUGGAAAGGUGUUUCUGUGCUGAAAACUAUGUCUUGGGUUAACUGCAGUUAAAGAGGAAGAAAGUUGCCAGGAGGAAUGACAUCAUGCACAUCUGUAUAUAGCUGCAAGAGGAAGGUGAAGGUCGGGGAGGAAGGCUCACACCUCCGCACUGGUGGGCUGACACCAGGCACCCACCUCCACCAGACGUGGCUGGAAAGCUGUGCCUGCAUGGAAACUCCUGGUGGGUCAGACCAUAAAUCAUAAAUCAAUUUGUUCAAAAAUUAGGCUUAGUGUUCUGUGGUUUGCUUCGGUUUUUAAGCCAGCCCUCCCUUUUCCCUUCCUUCUCCCACUCUCCAACAAAAAUCCAGGAGGUGGUUCUGAGUCGCCCAGACCAAAUGCAAACAGCCAGAACAACAAAAAAGUGAGGAUUACAGCAGCUGGAUUUACUCUUUUCUGACUUUUUUUCCUUUUAAUUAUAUUUUUUUUUUAAGAAAAAAAAUCUAUAUCCAAAUAUGUUUUCGAGUUGAAACAAAGUCAGGAUCUACUGUAUGUCUGUGUGCCCUCAAGUCUGUAGGAGCAGCUCCUCACCAGUUGCACCCAGCUGGAGGAUGGGAGCCUGGCAGGCUACCACCUUCCCUUCCCAGCAGCCAUGGGAGCCCAUGGAAAGCAGAGCAUAAAUUCAAACCAUUUAAAGAGUGAUUAAGACUUCUCCUGAUUACUGCUCUGCAUGGUAUUGAAUGGUUUGGAUGGUGGUGAUUUAUUGAAGUAAUAUAUAAUAUGCUCCGUUCGGUUAACGGUCCCCAUCAAGCACAAUCCAGAUGAAUAAAAAAGUAAAAAGAGGGAGAGAGUGUGCUGUAAGAGGAAAUCUCCUUGGAUUUAAGAGAAAUUGAAAUAUGUACAUGGUAAUCUGUGUCCAAAGCUUUUAGCACUUCAGAAAGUGCCAGUUGCUAAUACCUCUGGCUAAAGGCAGCGUUACGUGGAUGGCUGACGAUCCCAGGGCCUUCCUCCUUCCCUCCACCACUGACACCUGGCUCCUCCACCUGGCCUACCCUGCGGCAGAUGCUGGGUUUUUUGUUAAUAUCUGUUUUAUUCCAUGAUGCAGGAUCAGGUUCUUCAAGGAUGGGCAUAGCCACCUGUAGUGGAAAUGCUGAGUCUUGGCUUAAACCAGUGAUUGAGCACCUGGUAGGAAGGCAGGCCACACCAGGGGAGCUCAUUACAUGCACCUGAGUGACCAGAAGUGGUGAAGCCAGGAUCCACCCCUUCCCAGACCUCAUUUCAGGGUUGGCAGUGGAGGUGAGGGUAUCUCACUAGAGAUCCCUGCCUAUCAGAAGCCUUUUAAAGGUAAGCUGUCUUUUUUCCUUUAUUUCUAUGUCCAGAGGUGCUGCAUUUGGGUUUAUUCUUAUUUGCUGCAGCCUAGGAUUGUGCCACCCUGUUCCUAUUGCUGUACUUUCCAUCACAUUAUAGUAUAUCAGCAUUACACCAGCUCCCCAUCAGCCCCACAGCAGCUGGGCAGGUGAAAAUACUGGGAACUGCAACCUGGAGAGGAAAAAGCUGGAGCUGGAGAUAUAGAAAGGAAAAAAAAAAAAAACAGCAGUGUAAGCACUCAGCCUAGCUCCAACACUUUUAACACUUCAGCUUUAAUAGUAAAGUAGCUCUUACUUAUGUUAGGCGGAGGUUUAUUUAUUUUCAUAUAUGGCAUUUGAUGUAUUAUCACGCCUUUAGGAUCUGAGUCAAUGAGAUACCUCCACAGUGGGCUAAUUUUAAGGCAUCAUCUCCAAUUAACACUGAUCUCAAUCACAAGCUUUCCAAUAUAAGGUAGCUGGGUUAGAAAUGAUAAGAUUAUUAAUCAAAUGUUUCAUCUCAAGUUUGCUUUUAAGGAUCCGUGCCUCCAAGUGGGUUUUGUAUUCCCCUGAAGGCAUGAGAAUUGGAAAUAACUUUUACAAGCCAGCAACAAGGAGAGCAGAUACUCUACCCCAAGUACCCCUGCUCCACAACUCUGGGCUUUUGUGAAACCUGGACAAGAUACCCAGAAAUUACAAAAGCUUUUGAACUUUUCCAGCUCACUAAAAAGAGCACAGAUGGGGAUUGUUUUCAUUUUCUCAGUCUCUAAAAUUAGUGAAAUUAGAUUCAAUUCCAAACCUGAUAAGCACUCUUCUUCAGCUCUGAUGUUUUUUUAUGACUGUUGUAGAGUUGCUGUUCUUUAAGAAGGCAGGAAAUUGAAUUGUGGUUGGUAUGUGAUGGACAUAGGUGUGCCUGUGCAUUUCUCUUGUUUGCACUGAGCAAAUGUUCAGCAAACAAGGAAAUGUUCUUUCCUUUCUUGGCUCAACCAAAGAGCUCAUGUCUCCAGUCAUUCUUUAUCCCUUUAAUGCCAUGCAGAUGUCCUCCACGUUGGCUGAAAGGACACACAACCCUUUGUGUAGUGCUUGGAGCAUAGACUGAGUUUGUGGAGAUGCAGAGUUGGGCUUUUGAGCUCUAGCAUAUCUCAAGUAGAACCACAGCAUCAUUAAGGUUGGAAAAGGCCUCUAAGAACAGCUAGUUCAACCAUCUACCUGUCACCCAUGUUGCCCACUAAACCACUUCCAUCAGUGCCACAUCUCCAUGGUUCUUAAACACCUCCAGGGACAGUGACUUCACCACCUCGCUGGGCAGCCUGUGCCAAUGCAUCACCACUCUACUGGAAAAGAUUUUCCUAAUAUCCAACCUGAAAAGUACACACUGAAAAAUUUUUUACACACACACACACAUAUUCCCUGUAAUUGUUAGCUUGGCUCCAUGUAAGUAUAUUUUGAUAGGAGCAGUCAAAUGCUUGGCCAUCAGCUCAGGGCAGGCACAUGCCAGCUGUAGAGGUCUUGCUCCAAGGCCCAGAGGCCCUAGUGCUUCUCUGGAAAAUGUCUGUCAGAAUAUUUUAGCCUGGGCUUCACAUUUUCCCUUAAUCUCACUCUCAGAAAUGACGGCACCAUUUUAGCUGUAACUUUCCAAAUCAAAUUCAGCCUGAUGCACGGAAAAAAACCUGCACUGACAGUCACAAGCCUGGCAGAGCUGUAGACUGCAGGGUCUCCCGUGAGGAAGACUGGGACAGUGAUAUAGAAUCAUAGAAUGGUCGGGUUGGAAAUGACCUUGAACCCCUUGCCAUGGGCUGGUUGCCACCCACCAGCUCAGGCUGCCCAGGGCCCCAUCCAACCCAGCCUUGAGCACCUCCAGAGAUGAGGAAUCCCGAGCCUGUCUGGGCAGCCUGUGCCAUCACCCCCUCAGUGAAAAUUUCCCCCUGACAUCUAUGGUGGCAGCCCCAACACUGCAGAAGAGCUACACGCGCCUCCUGAAAGCCAGAGAAGCUUCAUUGGCCCAGAGCCCUCACACCACGAACCUCAGUGCUGCAGGUGCAAAACUACCACUACUUUUCAGCACAAUAACACAAAAGAAUGCAUAUGCAAGAAACUGCCUUUUUGUUGUUUUUUUUUUCCUACAGUUUGAUUAUCCGUCAUGAUAAGACAUUACUUAAAGCAGCGGUGACACUGUCUAAUCAUUCUUGUGAAAUAUAGAGUUCUCUCUCUACUUCAGACAGAGCCGACAUUAAUACACAUUUAUGCAAAGCAGAGCUGGAGCUGUCAGGGGCUAAUCUUUACAAGUAUGAUAAAUGAUGUUUAUUUUCAGUGAUGGAACGAAACACCCGGGCUGACAAUAAUUGUAAUAAAAAGG
rnacentral:lncRNA from 1 species